rnacentral:rRNA from 1 species
GACGAACGCUGGCGGCGUGCCUAAUACAUGCAAGUUGAGCGCUGAAGGUUGGUACUUGUACCAACUGGAUGAGCAGCGAACGGGUGAGUAACGCGUGGAGAAUCUGCCUUUGAGCGGGGGACAACAUUUGGAAACGAAUGCUAAUACCGCAUAAAAACUUUAAACACAAGUUUUAAGUUUGAAAGAUGCAAUUGCAUCACUCAAAGAUGAUCCCGCGUUGUAUUAGCUAGUUGGUGAGGUAAAGGCUCACCAAGGCGAUGAUACAUAGCCGACCUGAGAGGGUGAUCGGCCACAUUGGGACUGAGACACGGCCCAAACUCCUACGGGAGGCAGCAGUAGGGAAUCUUCGGCAAUGGACGAAAGUCUGACCGAGCAACGCCGCGUGAGUGAAGAAGGUUUUCGGAUCGUAAAACUCUGUUGGUAGAGAAGAACGUUGGUGAGAGUGGAAAGCUCAUCAAGUGACGGUAACUACCCAGAAAGGGACGGCUAACUACGUG